GCCCUUAUUUCCCGAGAAAAGUCCGAUUUAUGCGCGAUUCGGCGAAUGUGGACAGAACCAUCGCGGAAUUUUCUAGUGGAGGGUCGAUAGGAUUAUUAAAUUCUAGUACUGUUGCUGCCAUGGAAAACCUCGACCUGUGGUUAUGGGAAACCCUGCUUUUAGAUUGACGAAAUUGACUACUGAAAAAUUCUCAAGGGGGAUGAUAUCAUGGCUAAUGGAAUCGUGCCGCAGGUGUUGGGCUGUCAGAUUGUUGGACACGUAGAAAGAUUGCCUUCUUUUAGCCAUGUCUUAUAUGCUUCCAGUUUUCGGAAAGGCAGGAUGAACUUAGUGUGGCCGGAGCAGCAUCGGCUAGCUAGUUCCCACCGCAUUUAGUUUGCAAGGUUACUACUUUAUCGACGUUUUUGAUGGUCCAUCUUUCUAUCGCCUGCAGCAUGUGGGCUCCCAAGGCAUGUGCUGGUACGGUCAUAAUGGAUGACCGCAUGCUUGAUGGGCAAGUACAACGCUCUAACUGACCAUACCGUGCCAAGUUGUUCAUUGUCCCGUGGUGCCUCGCUCCACGUCACACCCAUCUACGUGUCUACGUCUCAGCCACAUGAUCACUAUCCAUGAUAAAACAACCAACAGUGAUUACGACUGCCAUCUUUCUUAAUUGCGUCUUGUGUCAUGGAUUAACUGACAGGUUUGGGUGUUGACCAAAAGCGGACGGGAGGGACGGCUCCCGAGGUGAAGGCGGUGGGCGGUGGAAGCCGCCAUCCACGGCACGCCAGGAAGGACCCGGGAAAGGAGAGCCAGCCGGCCAUCGCGUCACUUUCGCGCCAUCCACCACGGCACUCGCCCUGGGUCCCAUCACUACCAGCCGACCUGGUGGACUCCCUGUUCGCACGUGUGUCAGAUUGCCCACGUGUGUCAUGGCUACCCUUUUGGUAGCUCAUCGUUUCCUCUCUUCGGUGCAGAUAAUAAUUAGGGUGGAGGUCCACCUGGAGCUGUGAGGGCAUUAAUUGACACAACAUUUUUUUUUUUUUGGUAGAAUUGACACAACAUUAGUCAUCCAUUACACAGCAUGAAAUGGGAUGGGCAACAUGGGUUGUGUAAAUUUUAUCCUUUUUUUUUUUUUUUUGGUGAAAGUAAAUUCCAUCCAUUUUGAUGCUGUUGAUUGGAGGCUAGUAUUCAUCGACCUAUAUUCUACAUAAUUGAUUUGAUUGAUACCUGUAGCGUAUUAAUAAAAUGCAUCUAUUUCUGACUUUGUUACUUUUAUAAGGGGGCUUGAAUAUAGAAAUCAGAUUACAUACGUAUCCGCCAAAUAUUAUAAGCUCAAUGUCAUAAUCAUCUAGUUUGAAUUAAUCCCACUUAGUUGAAUCACGACAAUUCUUUGUUUAUCCUAUCUUGAAUCGUUGCAUGACAUAGGACAUAUAAGUAGCUCAUAACCCUUCAUUGGAUCAAUAUACAUUUCGCUCCUAGCUUCUUAUUAUCUAAUAAACAAAGACGCGAUUGGCCUAUAACUUCCAUUCAAUUACUGAUUCAAUUUGUCAAUGACCUAAAACAAUCAGAUGAUUUAAAUUAUGGACCCAACUUGUA